rnacentral:rRNA from 2 species
GGGCGUUAAGUUGCAGGGUAUAGACCCGAAACCCGGUGAUCUAGCCAUGGGCAGGUUGAAGGUUGGGUAACACUAACUGGAGGACCGAACCGACUAAUGUUGAAAAAUUAGCGGAUGACCUGUGGCUGGGGGUGAAAGGCCAAUCAAACCGGGAGAUAGCUGGUUCUCCCCGAAAGCUAUUUAGGUAGCGCCUCGUGAAUUCAUCUCCGGGGGUAGAGCACUGUUUCGGCUAGGGGGCCAUCCCGGCUUACCAACCCGAUGCAAACUGCGAAUACCGGAGAAUGUUAUCACGGGAGACACACGGCGGGUGCUAACGUCCGUCGUGAAGAGGGAAACAACCCAGACCGCCAGCUAAGGUCCCAAAGUCAUGGUUAAGUGGGAAACGAUGUGGGAAGGCCCAGACAGCCAGGAUGUUGGCUUAGAAGCAGCCAUCAUUUAAAGAAAGCGUAAUAGCUCACUGGUCGAGUCGGCCUGCGCGGAAGAUGUAACGGGGCUAAACCAUGCACCGAAGCUGCGGCAGCGAACGUAUCACCCAAGACAACUUUACGGAGUUGACGAUUGACGGAGCGAAGCGACGUCAAAGCGUUCAUUAAAGUCGAGUUGGCUUAGGGAUACGUUCGUUGGGUAGGGGAGCGUUCUGUAAGCCUGUGAAGGUGUGUCGUGAGGCAUGCUGGAGGUAUCAGAAGUGCGAAUGCUGACAUAAGUAACGAUAAAGCGGGUGAAAAGCCCGCUCGCCGGAAGACCAAGGGUUCCUGUCCAACGUUAAUCGGGGCAGGGUGAGUCGACCCCUAAGGCGAGGCCGAAAGGCGUAGUCGAUGGGAAACGGGUUAAUAUUCCCGUACUUGGUGUUACUGCGAAGGGGGGACGGAGAAGGCUAUGUUGGCCGGGCGACGGUUGUCCCGGUUUAAGCGUGUAGGUGUGUGUUCCAGGUAAAUCCGGUUCACUUUAACACUGAGGCGUGACGACGAGGCACUACGGUGCUGAAGCAACAAAUGCCCUGCUUCCAGGAAAAGCCUCUAAGCAUCAGGUAACA